ensembl:lncRNA
AGAACAGACAGAGGAGGUGUAAGAGGGAGAACAGACAGAGGAGGUGUGAGAGGGGGAACAGACAGAGGAGGUAUGAGAGGGAGAACAGACAGAGGAGGUGUAAGAGGGGGAACAGACAGAGGAGGUAUGAGAGGGGGAACAGACAGAGGAGGUAUGAGAGGGGGAACAGACAGAGGAGGUGUAAGAGGGAGAACAGACAGAGGAGGUGUGAGAGGGAGAACAGACAGAGGAGGUAUGAGAGGGAGAACAGACAGAGGAGGUAUGAGAGGGAGAACAGACAGAGGAGGUGUGAGAGGGGGAACAGACAGAGGAGG